rnacentral:rRNA from 1 species
AUUGAACGCUGGCGGCAGGCCUAACACACGCAAGUCGAGCGCGAAAGUCUUCGGAUGAGUAAAGCGGCGAACGGGUGAGUAAUGCAUGGGAAUCUGCCUGGUAGUGGGGGACAACGUCUCGAAAGGGACGCUAAUACCGCAUACGCCCUACGGGGGAAAGGGGGGGAUCUUCGGACCUCUCGCUAUCAGAUGAGCCCAUGCCGGAUUAGCUAGUUGGGGGGGUAAAGGCCCACCAAGGCGACGAUCCGUAGCUGGUCUGAGAGGAUGAUCAGCCACACUGGAACUGAGACACGGUCCAGACUCCUACGGGAGGCAGCAGUGGGGAAUAUUGGACAAUGGGGGCAACCCUGAUCCAGCCAUGCCGCGUGUGUGAAGAAGGCCUUAGGGUUGUAAAGCACUUUCAGUGGGGAGAAAGGUGAUUCACCUAAUACGUGAGUCAAUUGAUGCUACCCACAGAAGAAGCACCGGCUAACUCCGUGCCAGCCGCCGCCGUAA